AAGCCAUGUUGAGUACAAUAUCUCAAAAGGUCCUGGUAUAUUUCCCAAGCUUCAUAUAAGGAUUCUCCAUCUUCUUGUUGAAAACUAGCAAUAUUUUUCUUGAGUUU